AUGUAAACCUUGAAUUUUGUACAUCUUGUUCCAUGGUAGCGUCAAUCUCAUUUAGCGAGUUUGUAGAACAUCGUUAAUAGUUAAUUGAAAAUAGUUAUUGAAUUUGUCAUAAAACUAUUAUUUUGAAUAUUAGAAACGUCUUAAGGUAUACCCAAAUGUCUGAAUCAGAUCUUUUAGCUACCGAUCAUAUUGAUGGUCUAGAUGGACUAGAAAAUGGUCAAGAUGGAGAUGCUAUUAUGCAGUGUGAUGGUGUAAAACGUGAAUUAAAUGAAGCAAAUAUUGAUGAUCCGGAAUUGGAAGCUAUCAAAGCACGUGUUAGAGAAAUGGAAGAGGAAGCAGAAAAAUUAAAACAAUUACAAUCUGAAGUGGACAAACAAAUGAACAUGGGUAGUCCACCUGGGAUAACUAGUCCAUUAAAUAUGUCACUUGAAGAUAAAAGAGAGGUUGAUAAUAGGUCUAUUUAUGUGGGUAAUGUGGAUUAUGGAGCUACAGCAGAAGAAUUAGAGCAACACUUUCAUGGUUGUGGUAGCGUUAACAGAGUAACAAUAUUGUGCAAUAAAUUUGAUGGGCAUCCCAAAGGGUUUGCAUAUAUAGAAUUUGCAGAACGUGAUUCUGUACAAACUGCUAUGGCUAUGGAUGAAUCUAUGUUCAGAGGGCGUCAAAUUAAAGUAAUGCCCAAAAGAACAAACAGACCAGGAUUGUCAGUGACAAAUAGAGGACCGCGGGGAACACGAGGAUAUCGUGGCGUAGCUAGGGGGAUUAUACGCGGUAGUGCAUACUUUGGAUAUAGACCUACAAGGCGACCUAGAUUGUAAAUUUUGUUCUGAUGCAGGAGUUAUAAACGAGGUUACUACAUGCCGUAUUGACCGUUUUAAAUCAUUUUACUGCAAUUUUACAAAUUAAGAAAAAAAAACUGAUACGAUGGGGAAAAAAAGAGAAAGAAAAAACCUCAUGUCAAAAGAAAAAAAAAAGAUUGGACAAUGAUGGGCACAAUUAAUCAUAUUUGAUUUAAUAAAACUUCAUAUGAAUAUUAAAAAUGUAGAUCAGCGAUAAUUUGCUAUUGCAGUUCAAUUAUGCUUUUGCCUAAUUUACGUUGUAAUCGGAGCAGUUUUGUAGUAUCAGCCUUUAUUAUUUCCCAAGAACUUCAAUUUUUCUAGAUUACAGAAAAAUGCAUAGUUUGAAUAUCAAUAAAGUCAUGCUAUUACAAAAAAACGCAAUGAAUGUCAUUUCAGCCCAAAAAAAGAAAUCGCAAAACUGUUACAUUUCCGAAAGGUUGAGGUUUGUAUUACUUCAGAAUAAAUAUUAAUUGUUUUUAUGCACUCUACAGGUGUAAUUAUAUGAUAUCCCUUAUGUUUCUCAGUAUAAUAGCUUUUCUGUUUCUAAUUAUUUUUUUCCAAUUUGGAACGGUUUAACUCUACUAAAUUCGUACGAAUAGCAAUAAAGUUCUUUUCUAAUUCAAAUCAUCAGUUUUUUAUUAUUGACACAUGAAUUUUUAUGAUAAGUAAUUUGUAUACUUAUGUGAUUUAUUAAAAUUAUGAACUAUUCUUUCUACUGUGUAAAAAAGAAAAGUAUAAGAUUUUAAACUGCAAAAAAAAAUUAUGGCUGUUAAUAAUAAUGGUAAGAGUAUUAAAAUAUGGUAGGCUAAUAUUAAAUGGUAUACAAAAGAACAAUUUUAUAGUAUACUUGAUGUCACAGAAGCAUAUUAGUAGCUUAGAAAAUGAUUUUAAGAUGUUAUAAUAUAGCAAUAAUAAUUUUAGAAAUAUUUUUGGUAUAAUAUAAAGGCUGAUACUGGUAUAAAAAAAAAAAAUAAAAAUUAUGAUAUCAUAAUCUAAAUGAUAUUAUCAAAAUAUAGUUUUAAUACCCCCAAUAUAUAUUUCUAAUGGCUCUUUAAUAAUAUUUGUCUAGUGAUAACAAAUUUUGUUGUUGUUAAAUAGUCUUAUAGUUAAGCAUGCAUUUCAAAUAUCAAGUAAAUGGAAGAGUUGAACUGCAAUGUAAAUAUCUAGAGUAAUAUCAUAUUACUAUAAUUUAAAUAGUAACUUUUGUAUGCAUAGUAAGUGAAAGUUGCUAGAACAAUACGUUCUUAUAAUUGUUCUGUAGAAUGUAACAUAUAUUGAUACUAAUGUGAGCAACUUUCAUUUAUUUAUUACUAACUAUACAUCCUCAAUUUUAUCUCAAACACAUUGCUACUAAUUUGUAAGACGCGUGUAAAAUGUUUUUGAACUAUUAAUCCACUACUAUGAUGUUAGGAGGAGAGCCAAGUUUUCACAUAUUAAUCGAGCUACAUUUCGUAACGUUACUUCCAUGUCGCUAAGUAUUUUGCAGGUGCAGUGCAGCAUCAGCAUCAAUUGAGUGAUAAUCAUACAAAUUUCAUGAACAAUUUUUACGUUCCAUUAAAAA